AUCUGCUGUUCAGGCUGACUCAUCUAGUCUGGAGGAGGGGCUAUCUUCAUUUCUAAUUGAGGCUGUGGAGUCCAGGGACGAGACCUGACUGACUUGUCUCAGAGAUACUUCCUGAACAGUCUUUCUCUCACCGUGGACCAAAGGUUUGGCCAGAGCUAUGUAGCUGUCAAGCUCUAGAGAAAAUGAGGGGCGUAUUUCUAAAAGGGCAGAGGAGGCAGACAGGCGGAUGAAAAUAUCAAACGGUUCCAGCGUGCACUGAAGGAUCAGAUGUGUGGAGAGCAGAGGCCAGGGGACUGACUGCAGGGGGAUUGCCAGCUCCUCUGAGAAGCCUUUCCCAGAGGCCUGCUUUGGCUCCUGACGUCCUUGUUCGUGUUCUCUGUAGCCGAUGGCAUGUAUAUUACCUAAUCACAGCAGCUUUGAAGGUGAAAGUUCCUCUGGUUCAUCCUGUUUCCUUCCUUCCGGUUGUGAACAUGGACUUACUGUUUGGAUGAAGAAAUGAAGAAACGGGAGAAAUACAGACAUAGAGAAGGAAGGUCAGAGGAUCACAGAAUCUACAGGCUGAGCAUACACUCUACUCCAGCUUCUCAGCUCUCGUCAUCUGCACAGAAAUACAUCACUAAGUCAUUUAUGCUCAUCUUCCUUCUGAAGUUCUUCCUAGAAAUUUGUCUUCCAGUGAGGCAGUGGGCUUCAGAACUCCAAGAUCAUGCAGAAGAGCACAUGAGCGUCUGCUCUCAUCAGCCAGGGUGGCUGGUUCCCCUCACACUGGGAAUCUUAGUGCUAAGCUCUCAAAACCCAGUACUGCAAUAGAGGAAGGUGUCAAGACUCUUCUUCCAAUGAGACAGAUGUUUCUACUUUUCAAGCAGUUCUCUCUUCCGGACAUCCCAUGACCAUCUGUUUAAGGGCCUGCUGGAGACCGUGUGCACUUGUUAUGAGCUUGGUUUCUCUAUUGAGCCCAAGAAGAGGGAGUUUCUACAGACAACCGUGACAAGGGCCGCAGCAAGGUGAAUCAGAUGAUGGCAGUGUGAAGCAGUGCCCACAGUGUCCAUGGAGGGUCAGGGACUUCGGAACGCAGACCCUGGUGCCUGACCUCACUGAGGGGAAGCCCUGCUAUGGAGCAAGAGGUGGAGAAAGACUGGUCGCGGGAGCAAGCUUAGUGUUGCGGCUGGACCAGCAGCCUGGCUUUGCAGGCUUAAUGAAACGGGUGCAAACAGUGACCUUGUCAGACGAAAUGAAUUAUGGGAAGGAGAAGCUGAAUGAAAUAUCUUCUGCCAUGACUCUGUUCUUUGGCUUUCAGGAGCAAGCCCCAGCACUUCUCAGAUGUGAAAUGCAAAACCUCAAAGGUGCAGAAUAUGGAUAUCCCUACAACUGAAGUAAUCCAUCUUUUAGUACACCAGAAUAAGUGUGCGUAACCGUGGAUGUGUGUACAACAAUCUGUCCUUGUCCUCUGCUGGUCUCCAGCUCCCCCACUGCCUGGCAGCCCCACUGCCCUUUUUCCACGUGCUUCCUGCUAGUGUAAAUGCAGUAAGCAAGGAAAUGCAUAGACAGAGUCUUGCUCAUAGGAGCGUCUCGGUAAUAAAUCCUUAAUUUUAAGC
ensembl:lncRNA